GAUGAACGCUGGCGGCGUGCCUAAUACAUGCAAGUCGAGCGAACGGACGAGAUGGUUGCUUCUCUGAUGUUAGCGUCGGAAGGGUGAGUAACAUGUGGAUAACCUACCUCUGAGACUGGGAUAACUUCGGGAAACCGGAGCUAAUACCGGAUAAUAACUUGAACCGCAUGGUUCAAGAGUGCAAGACGGUCUUGCUUUCAAGUAUCGAAGGUCCCGUUCUGCAUUAGCUAGUUGGUAAGGUAACGGCUUACCAAGGCAACGAUGCAUAGCAGACCUGAGAGGGUGAUCGGCCACACUGGAACUGAGACACGGUCCAGACUCCUACGGGAGGCAGCAGUAGGGAAUCUUCCGCAAUGGGCGAAAGCCUGACGGAGCAACGCCGCGUGAGUGAUGAAGGUCUUCGGAUCGUAAAACUCUGUUAUUAGGGAAGAAAAUAUGUGUAAGUAACUGUGCACAUCUUGACGGUACCGAAUGAGAAAGCCACGGCUAACUACGUG
rnacentral:rRNA from 1 species